AGAAAUUUGCGCUAAUACCGAAUGAUGCAGCGGCACCGCAUGGUGAUGUUGUUAAAGUCUAUAUGGCGGCUAUGGAUGAGCUUGCAUCUGAUUAGCUAGUUGGUGAGGUAAUGGCCCACCAAGGCAACGAUCAGUAGCUGGUCUGAGAGGAUGAUCAGCCACACUGGAACUGAGACACGGUCCAGACUCCUACGGGAGGCAGCAGUGAGGAAUAUUGGGCAAUGCCCGCAAGGGUGACCCAGCAACGCCGCGUGGAGGAUGAAUGCCGUAAGGUUGUAAACUCCUGUGAGAAGGGAAGAAAGUGCGGAAUCGAAUUCCGCUUUGACUGUACCUUCAGAGGAAACCCCGGCUAACUACGUGCCAGCAGCCGCGGUAAUACGUAGGGGGUUAGCGUUGUCCGGAUUUACUGGGUGUAAAGGGCGCGUAGGCGGGUUUGUAAGUCAGA
rnacentral:rRNA from 1 species